UACGUAGGGUGCAAGCGUUGUCCGGAAUUAUUGGGCGUAAAAGAGCUCGUAGGCGGUUCGUCGCGUCUGCUGUGAAAACUCGGGGCUUAACUCCGGGCCUGCAGUGGGUACGGGCAGACUAGAGUGCGGUAGGGGAGACUGGAAUUCCUGGUGUAGCGGUGAAAUGCGUAGAUAUCAUUUGGAACGCCAAUGGUGAAAACAGGUAGCUGGGGCUGUGCUGACACUGAGACACGGAAAGCCAGGGGAGGCAAAACGGG
rnacentral:rRNA from 1 species